rnacentral:rRNA from 1 species
GAUGAGCGCUGGCGGCGUGCCUAAUACAUGCCAGUAGAACGCUGAAGGAAGGAGCUUGCUCUUUCCGGAUGAGUUGCGAACGGGUGAGUAACGCGUAGGUAACCUGCCUGGUAGCGGGGGAUAACUAUUGGAAACGAUAGCUAAUACCGCAUAACAGUAGAUGUUGCAUGAUAUCUACUUAAAAGGUGCAAUCGCACCACUACCAGAUGGACCUGCGUUGUAUUAGCUAGUUGGUGAGGUAACGGCUCACCAAGGCGACGAUACAUAGCCGACCUGAGAGGGUGAUCGGCCACACUGGGACUGAGACACGGCCCAGACUCCUACGGGAGGCAGCAGUAGGGAAUCUUCGGCAAUGGACGGAAGUCUGACCGAGCAACGCCGCGUGAGUGAAGAAGGUUUUCGGAUCGUAAAGCUCUGUUGUAAGAGAAGAACGAGUGUGAGAGUGGAAAGUUCACACUGUGACGGUAUCUUACCAGAAAGGGACGGCUAACUACGUG